ensembl:snoRNA small nucleolar RNA SNORD93
UGGCCAAGGAUGAAAGCAAUAAUCUGAUUCCUUACAUACUUUAGUGAUACGCAAAAAUCUGAUGGAUAAAAGGAUUUUCUGAGGCCA